AGACUCCUACGGGAGGCAGCAGUCGGGAAUAUUGAGCAAUGGGCGAAAGCCUGACUCAGCAACGCCGCGUGAAGGAUGAAGGCCUUCGGGUCGUAAACUUCUGUCGAGAGGGAAGAAUGUGUGCGGGUGAAUAAUCCGUACGUUUGACGGUACCUCCAAAGGAAGCACCGGCUAACUCCGUGCCAGCAGCCGCGGUAAUACGGAGGGUGCAAGCGUUGUUCGGAUUUAUUGGGCGUAAAGCGAGUGUAGGCGGUUUAGCAAGUCGGAUGUGAAAGCCCAGGGCCCAACCCUGGAACUGCAUCCGAUACUGCUAGGCUAGAGUCCCGGAGAGGGUGGCGGAAUUCCCGGUGUAGGGGUGAAAUCCGUAGAUAUCGGGAGGAACACCAGUGGCGAAGGCGGCCACCUGGACGGUGACUGACGCUGAGACUCGAAAGCGUGGGUAGCAAACAGGAUUAGAUACCCUGGUAGUCCACGCCGUAAACGGUGAGAGCUCGUCGUAGUGGGUAUUGACCCCUGCUGUGACCAAGUUAACGCAUGAAGCUCUCCGCCUGGGAAGUACGGUCGCAAGACUAAAACUUAAAGAAAUUGACGGGGGCCCGCACAAGCGGU
rnacentral:rRNA from 1 species